rnacentral:rRNA from 1 species
UGGGGAAUAUUGCACAAUGGGGGAAACCCUGAUGCAGCGACGCCGCGUGAGCGAUGAAGGCUUUCGAGUCGUAAAGCUCUGUCCUAUGGGAAGAUAAUGACGGUACCAUAGAAGAAAGCCCCGGCUAAUUACGUGCCAGCAGCCGCGGUAAUACGUAAGGGGCGAGCGUUGUCCGGAAUUAUUGGGCGUAAAGAGUGCGUAGGCGGCAAAUUAAGUCAGAUGUGAAAACUAAGGGCUCAACCCAUAGAUUGCAUCUGAAACUGAUAUGCUUGAGUCAAGGAGAAGAAAGUGGAAUUCCUAGUGUAGCGGUGGAAUGCGUAGAUAUUAGGAGGAAUACCGGAGGCGAAGGCGACUUUCUGGACUUGAACUGACGCUGAGGCACGAAAGCGUGGGGAGCAAACAGG